UUGGUUAAGUUGUGUAGGGCGCAUGGUGGAUGCCUUGGUGCCGGAUGACCGAUGAAGGACGUGUGAGGCUGCGAUAUGCCUGGGGGAGUUGCCAACUGGACUGUGAUCCCAGGGUUUCCGAAUGGGGUAACCUGGCCGGCUUGAUGGCCGGUCGCGCCUGCCUGAAUGUAUAGGGCGGGUGGUGGUGUGGCGGGGAAGUGAAACAUCUCAGUACCUGCUGUGGAGAAAACAAGAGUGAUUCCGUGAGUAGCGGCGAGCGAAAGCGGAGGAGGCUAAACCUGGUUCGUGUGAUAGCCGGCAGGCGUUGCGGGUCAGGGGUUGUGGGACGUUUCCGUUAGUUUCUGCCGAGACUAGGUUCACGCAUCAGCAGCUAGUCGAACGGUGUGGGAAAGCCGACCGGAGAGGGUGAGAGUCCCGUAGGUGAAGGUUGUUGGUGGUGUUCGGGGAGCGCACCCGAGUAGCGCGGGUUUCGUGGAGGCUCGUGUGAAUCUGGCAGGACCGUCUGCUAAGCCUAAAGAGGUCCGGUGACCGAUAGUGGAGAGUACCGUGAGGGAAUGGUGAAAAGUACCCCGGGAGGGGAGUGAAAGAGUGCCUGAAACCAUGUGCCUGUAAUCCGUCAGAGCCCGGCGGGCGGCUUCGUGCUGUUCGUGGGCGGGUGAUGGCGUGCCUUUUGAAGAAUGAGCCUGCGAGUUAAGGUGUGCAGCGAGGUUAAGCCGUGGGGUGGAGCCGGAGCGAAAGCGAGUCUGAAUAGGGCGUCUGAGUUGCACGUUUUAGACCCGAAGCGGGGUGAUCUACCCAUGUCCAGGGUGAAGCGGCUGUAAGAGGUCGUGGAGGCCCGAACCCACCUAGGUUGCAAACUGGGGGGAUGAGGUGUGGGUAGGGGUGAAAGGCCAAUCAAACUCCGUGAUAGCUGGUUCUCCCCGAAAUGCAUUUAGGUGCAGCGUCGCAUGUUGCACCGUGGUGGUAGGGCGCUGGUUGGGUGAUGGGCCGUGUCGGUUACUGAGCUCAGCUAAACUUCGAAUGCCAUGGUGUUGAGUGCGGCAGUGAGUCGGCGGGUGAGAAGAUCCGUCGUCGAGAGGGAAACAGCCCAGAUUACCGGCUAAGGCCCCUAAGGGUGCACUGAGUGGAAAAGGAUGUGGGGUCGCGUUGACAGCCAGGAGGUUGGCUUAGAAGCAGCCAUCCUUGAAAGAGUGCGUAAUAGCUCACUGGUCGAGUGGUUUCGCGCCGAUAAUGUAGCGGGGCUGAAGUGCACCGCCGAAGCCGUAGCAAUGCCGUAGAGACUUGUCUCUGCGGGUUGGGUAGGGGAGCGUCGUGCCUGGGGUGAAGCCGGCGAGUGAUCGAUCCGGUGGACUUGGUGCGAGUGAGAAUGCAGGCAUGAGUAGCGAAACACAGGUGAGAAUCCUGUGCGCCGAUUGACUAAGGGUUCCAGGGGACGGUUGUUCCGCCCUGGGUUAGUCUGGGCCUAAGGCGAGGCCGAGAGGCGUAGUCGAUGGAUAACCGGUUGAUAUUCCGGUACCCGAGUGCCGCGUAUGAGUGAUAGCGGUUGUGCUAACCGGCUGCGAGCCGGCGGGUGGUCGCCUUCGGGUGGCUGCUCGUUGGUGAGUGGUUGGGGUCCUUUCCGUGUGUAGCGUAGUGAUGGGGUGACGCAGUGGGGUAGCCGUACCGUCUGGUGGAUUAGGCGGGGUAAGGUGGUAGCCCGGGACUCUAGGCAAAUCCGGAGUUCCUCAGGUUCGACCUGGAGGGUGAGCGCUGAAGCAUAGGCCUUAAGGCCGAAUUCGGUGAUCCCGUGCUGUCGAGAAAAGCCUCUAGCGAGUGGUGCUCGGCCAGUACCCGAAACCGACACUGGUGGUCAGGUAGAGUAUACUGAGGCGUUCGAGUGAUGUGUGGUUAAGGAACUCGGCAAAUUGCCUCCGUAACUUCGGGAGAAGGAGGGCCCUCUGCUGUGGUGCGUGCGCACGGAAGCGGUGGGGGGUUGCAGAGGCCAGGGGGAAGCGACUGUUUACUAAAAACACAGGUCCAUGCGAAGCCGUGAGGUGAGGUAUAUGGACUGACGCCUGCCCGGUGCUGGAACGUUAAGAGGAUCCAUCAGGCCCGCAAGGGCUGCAGUGGUGAAUUGAAGCGCCAGUAAACGGCGGUGGUAACUAUAACCAUCCUAAGGUAGCGAAAUUCCUUGUCGGGUAAGUUCCGACCUGCACGAAUGGCGUAACGACUUCCCCGCUGUCUCAACCACAUGCUCGGCGAAAUUGCAGUACGAGUAAAGAUGCUCGUUUCGCGCGGCAGGACGGAAAGACCCCGGGACCUUUACUAUAGCUUGGUAUUGGCAUGUUGUCUGGUUUGUGUAGGAUAGGCGGGAGCCUGGGAAGCCCGGACGCUAGUUCGGGUGGAGGUGUUGGUGAAAUACCGCUCUGAUCUGAUGAUGUGUCUCACCCGCGGCCCUGAUCGGGUCGGGGGACAGUGCCUGGUGGGUAGUUUAACUGGGGCGGUUGCCUCCUAAAUGGUAACGGAGGCGCCCAAUGGUACCCUCGGGCCGGUUGGAAACCGGUCGGUGAGUGUAAGCGUAGAAGGGUGCUUGACUGUGAGACCGACGGGUCGAGCAGGUGCGAAAGCAGGGGCUAGUGAUCCGGCACCGACGUACGGAUGUGGUGUCGCUCAACGGAUAAAAGGUACCCCGGGGAUAACAGGCUGAUCUUCCCCAAGAGUCCAUAUCGACGGGAUGGUUUGGCACCUCGAUGUCGGCUCGUCGCAUCCUGGGGCUGGAGUUGGUCCCAAGGGUUGGGCUGUUCGCCCAUUAAAGCGGCACGCGAGCUGGGUUUAGAACGUCGUGAGACAGUUCGGUCCCUAUCCGCCGCGCGCGUAGGAGAUUUGAUGGAGGGCUGUCCCUAGUACGAGAGGACCGGGAUGGACGAACCGCUGGUGUGCCAGUUGUCCCGCCAGGGGCAUGGCUGGUUGGCUACGUUCGGGAGCGAUAACCGCUGAAAGCAUCUAAGCGGGAAGCGUGCUCUAAGAUGAGAUCUCCGUCAGCGUUUAUGCUGGUGAGGCGCCCUAGAGAUGAUGGGGUUGAUAGGCCCGACAUGGAAGAGCCGCAAGGUUUGGAGUGGACGGGUACUAACCGCCGAGAACUUAACACAACAC
rnacentral:rRNA from 1 species